rnacentral:lncRNA from 1 species
GUCAUCUGAAGAUAAUAUAAAAGACACCAAGUUAAAUGACUUGCAAAUUUUUUUACUUUUUAAAAUUUUUUUAUUUUUUUAGACUUGCAAAUUUUAAUUCACAUUGAGUAAAACAACUUUUGUAAAAUUAUAUACUUUAGAAACAAAUGAAGAUUCUUGUGACUUGUUUAUUCUAUAAGCUGUAUAACCAAAAAGAAAAAUUAAAGAUACUUUAGGAAUAAAA